AUUGAACGCUGGCGGCAUGCUUUACACAUGCAAGUCGAACGGCAGCGCGGGCUUCGGCCUGGCGGCGAGUGGCGAACGGGUGAGUAAUACAUCGGAACGUGCCCGGUAGUGGGGGAUAGCUCGGCGAAAGCCGGAUUAAUACCGCAUACGACCUGAGGGUGAAAGCGGGGGAUCUUCGGACCUCGCGCUAUUGGAGCGGCCGAUGGCAGAUUAGCUAGUUGGUGGGGUAAAGGCCUACCAAGGCGACGAUCUGUAGCUGGUCUGAGAGGACGACCAGCCACACUGGGACUGAGACACGGCCCAGACUCCUACGGGAGGCAGCAGUGGGGUAUUUUGGACAAUGGGCGAAAGCCUGAUCCAGCAAUGCCGCGUGUGUGAUGAAGGCCUUCGGGUUGUAAAGCACUUUUGGCGGGAACGAAAAGGACUGUGCCAAUACCACGGUUCGAUGACGGUACCCGCAGAAUAAGCACCGGCUAACUACGUG
rnacentral:rRNA from 1 species